rnacentral:piRNA from 1 species
UUCAGCCAGAUCUUUGAUCUGCAUGCAGCAU